rnacentral:rRNA from 1 species
CCGACGGUGAGAGGUGAAAGCUGGGGGAGCAAACCGGAUUAGAUACCCGGGUAGUCCCAGCUGUAAACGAUGCGCGUUAGGUGUGUCAGUGACCACGUGUCACUGAUGUGCCGAAGGGAAACCGUGAAACGCGCCGCCUGGGGAGUACGGUCGCAAGGCUGAAACUUAAAGGAAUUGGCGGGGAGCACCACAACGGGUGGAGCCUGCGGUUUAAUCGGACACAACGCCGGAAAUCUCACCGGAUAAG